rnacentral:rRNA from 1 species
UUAGGGGUUCGAUUUAUGGGCUCAGAUUGAACGCUGGGCGGGUAUGCUUAACACAUGCAAAGUCGAACGGAAACGAUACUAGCUUGCUUAGUAGGGCGUCGAGUGGCGGACGGGUGAGUAACGCGUAGGAAUCUGCCUGAUAGUGAAGAUAGCCCGAAGAAAUUCGGAUUAAUACCGCAUAAUCUAUUCGUAGUAAAGUGAGGACUUUCGAGCCUCACGCUAUCAGAUGAGCCAGCGUAAGAUUAGCUUGUUGGUGGGGUAAAAGCCCACCAAGGCGACGAUCUUUAGCUGGUCUGAGAGGAUGAUCAGCCACAUCGAGACUGAGACACGGCCCGAACUCCUACGAGAGGCAGCGGUGGGGAAUAUUGGACGAUGAAAGCAACCCUGAUCCGGCGAUACCGCGUGUGUGAAGAAGGCCUGAAAGUUGUAAAGCACUUUCAAUUGUGAAGAAAAGUUAGCGGUUAAUAACCGUUAGCCUUGACGUUAACUUUAGAAGAAGCACCGGCUAACUCCGUGCCAGCCGCCGCGGUAAUACA